AACGAACGCUGGCGGCAUGCCUAACACAUGCAAGUCGAACGAGAUCUUCGGGUCUAGUGGCGCACGGGUGCGUAACGCGUGGGAAUCUGCCCUUUGGUUCGGAAUAACAGUUGGAAACGACUGCUAAUACCGGAUGAUGACGAAAGUCCAAAGAUUUAUCGCCAGAGGAUGAGCCCGCGUAGGAUUAGCUAGUUGGUGUGGUAAAGGCGCACCAAGGCGACGAUCCUUAGCUGGUCUGAGAGGAUGAUCAGCCACACUGGGACUGAGACACGGCCCAGACUCCUACGGGAGGCAGCAGUGGGGAAUAUUGGACAGUGGGCGAAAGCCUGAUCACGCAAUGCCGCGUGAGUGAUGAAGGCCUAGGGUUGUAAAGCUCUUUUACCCGGGAUGAUAAUGACAGUACCGGGAGAAUAAGCUCCGGCUAACUCCGUGCCAGCCGCCGCCGUAA
rnacentral:rRNA from 1 species